AAGCAAUAAUUAUUUAUAUCGUUCUCGAAAUUUAUGAAGUAUAUAUCAUAUUUAUCGCUACUUCUCGUAUAUUUCUCCGUUAUUCAAAAAUACCUCGAUUGGUUGUGUCCUUAAGUCUUCUGAAGUUAAACCUAUGUUGAAUUUCUACCAUAAUUAAAAAAUAGUUAAAAUAUCUAUUUUGUUCUUUCUUGAAUUAAAGCCAAAUAAGAUAAAUUGAUGAUGAUAAAAAGCUAUAUUUAUUUAAUAGAGAUAACGGUUGUUUCUAACGGUUCACUAACAAAAUUUAAUUCUCAAAUAUAUUUAAAAGAAUUUGUAAUCUUAAAAAAAUAUUUUUAAUACUAACCUUCCAAGAGCGAUAAAUAAAAAAAAAUAAGAAAGUCGAAAAUUUUUUAGUAACAUAUAAGUAAUUGCCUUUUAAAAUUAUUAUUAUUCAACUAUUGUUUCUUUUCUUAAAAC
rnacentral:lncRNA from 1 species